AUGUUCUAUAAACCUACUCUAAUUCGAAAUGAUACGAACGAAUAUUUGAGUUUGACAGACGAAACUUCGGAAUUUUAACCUCAAAUUCAACGAAACCAAAAGAGUUAUCGUUUGAUUUUCGUGUUACUUUUCGUUUUGUGAAUUUUGUGUGAAAAUUAUUGGCAAAGGCUAUUAAAAUGCUUUUAAUUAAAGCAGCUUUACGUGAAGAUCGUGUAGAGCGAAGAAGGAACCGGCAGUGCUUGCGCAAUCAAUUAAAUAUUAGCGAAAUUCCCGACGUAGAGUUUGUAGGAAAUCACAGACUCAGUCGGCAAUUUUUUUAUUACCUCCAAACAAUGCAUAUUUCAAUUGCUAUACCUUCUGGAGCAAGAGCAACAAUAUUUUAAUCGAAAAUAUUUUCAUUCUCUUAACACCCACGUUAUAUGUGACAGUGAUUACUAUAUAACAAAUGUGGAUGUGUCAUUUGGUGGAGCAACACACAUGAUGCUUAUAUUUGGAGAGAUUAGAAGCCACUUGGAAGGUCUCCAGAAUGAAACAGUUUAUCUGUUAGGUGACUCUGGGUAUGCUCUAAGGGGCAUAUGAUGAUACCUAUACAUAAAGCUGUUGAAGAUUCUCUUGAAGGCAGAUACAACUUUGCAGAGCUUUGUUAGUGCAAAUUUUAGAAAGGAAUAGGUAGAACAAAGUUCUACUCAAGCACAUCAUAACAUGC